CCUACGGGAGGCAGCAGUGGGGAAUAUUGCGCAAUGGGGGAAACCCUGACGCAGCAACGCCGCGUGAGUGAGGAAGGACUUCGGUCUGUAAAGCUCUGUUAAUGAGGAAAAAUGGUAGUUGGUCUAAUAGGCCGAUUAUUUGAUGGUACUCAUAGAGGAAGCACCGGCUAACUUCGUGCCAGCAGCCGCGGUAAUACGAAGGGUGCAAGCGUUGUUCGGAUUUAUUGGGCGUAAAGCGCGCGUAGGCGGACCUGCAAGUAAGAUGUGAAAUCUCGAGGCUCAACCUCGAAACUGCGUCUUAAACUACAGGUCUAGAAUCUCGGAGGGGGAAGGGGAAUUUCGCAUGUAGGGGUAAAAUCCGUAGAUAUGCGAAGGAACACCAGAGGCGAAGGCGCCUUCCUGGACGAGUAUUGACGCUGAGGCGCGAAAGCGUGGGGAUCAAACAGGAUUAGAUACCCUGGUAGUCCACGCUGUAAACGAUGAACACUAGGUAUUGGAGGAUUUGACCCCUUCAGUGCCGUAGCUAACGCGUUAAGUGUUCCGCCUGGGAAAGUACGGUCGCAAGACUAAAACUUAAAUGAAUUGACGGCUUGAGAGNGCGAGACGACGACGAGGAGGAGG
rnacentral:rRNA from 1 species